UAUUGUUGAGACCUUUCCUGAUGAGUGUUUGUAUCAAGUAAAAGACAAGUUGCCUUGGUUUGGUGAUGUUGUUAAUUAUCUUGCAGGUAAGGUGUUGUGUUUUGAUCAACUACUCAAUAAAUGAAGAGGUUUUUACACAAAGUCAAAUCUUAUCAUUGGGAAGAUCCUCUUCUUUACAAGGUGUGUGCAGAUGGUCUCAUAAGAAAAUCUGUCCAUCAGAAGGAAGUUGUAAGUAUCUUGAACUCCUAUCAUUCUUCGCCCUAUGGAAGUCAUUUUAGGCCAACUAGAACUGUAGCUAAGCCCUAAAUUAAAAAGCCCAACUGCACAAAAAAGUUUCCUUCUCCACCUUCCCUUCUGUUCUGUGGAAGACCGAAGUGCCCUACCCUCCUUACCUACCGAGUACGAGUAUCGUGUCGUGCAUCUGCGUGAGUCUAUAAGCCGAGCAUGAAGGAAGACCGAAGGGCGAAGGCGAAGCAACUAAAGAAGUAAUUAGGCGUUGGGUGAAGACUAAAGCCGAACUCCGAAGGGUCUGGGUGUUGCAUCUGGCGUCUACGUGAGUUCGUGAGCCGAGCGUGAAGGAAGACCGAAGGGUGAAGGCAAAGCGAUUGAAUAAGUAAUUAGGCAUUGGAUGAAUACUGAAGCCGAAUUCCAAAGGGUCUAAGUGUUGCAUCUGGUGUCUGCCGUCAGCCGUAAAGUGAAGAAGAACCGUCGUCCGACUUUCGAGUUAAGACUGAAGGCGACUGAAGAAGAACUUAGGCGUUGGGUGAAGACUGAAGCCGAACUCUGAAGGCCUUGGGUCUAGGUGUUGCGUCUGCCAUCAGCCGUGAACUGAAGAAGAACUGCCGUCCGACUUUUGAGUUCAAGCCAAGAUUGUCCGUUCAAGACUGUCCGUUUGAGUUCGCUUUGGAAAACCUGAAAAAAUAGACGUAAUUACUAAUACCUAACAAGACUGACCGUUCAAGUGAAGAAGAUUUUGUACUGUUCCAAGAGGCGAGAUCUGUCCGUUCAAGGCUUUAAGCUGCUGCCGUCUGAGAUCUGUUGCCAUUUAAGCCGGUACUAGCACGAGAAAAGAAAUAGUUAAACAUUUAACAACUGUUUUAGAAGAUGCAGAUGAUUCUGAUGAAGAUGGUGGGGUGACUAAGGAAUGAAUAAUACUCGCAAUUAAGGAUGGGAUGAUGGCAAGAAAGGAGAAAUAUUUCAAUGUGAAGUCUUCGGUGAAGAGAGAAAGACGAGCAAUUUAUAUAUUUUAAAUGUAUAAGAUAUUUUCCUUUAAUUGACUUCCUUAUUCAAACUUUAUUGAAUUUUAAGUUGUAAACUUAUUUAAUGGAUUUGUCAGCUUUU